CCAUAGCUCAAUGGUGGAGCAGGGGACUCAUAAUCCCUGGGUUGGGGGUUCGAAUCCCUCUGGGCG
rnacentral:tRNA from 1 species